rnacentral:rRNA from 1 species
CCUACGGGUGGCAGCAGUGGGGAAUAUUGCACAAUGGGGGAAACCCUGAUGCAGCGACGCCGCGUGAGUGAAGAAGUAUUUCGGUAUGUAAAGCUCUAUCAGCAGGAACGAGACAAGACGGUACCUGACUAAGAAGCCCCGGCUAACUACGUGCCAGCAGCCGCGGGAAUACGUAGGGGGCAAGCGUUAUCCGGAAUCACUGGGUGUAAAGGGAGCGUAGACGGCUGAGCAAGCCUGAAGUGAAAGGCGGGGGCCCAACCCCCGGACUGCUUUGGGAACUGUACGGCUGGAGUGCAGGAGAGGUAAGUGGAAUUCCUAGUGUAGCGGUGAAAUGCGUAGAUAUUAGGAGGAACACCAGUGGCGAAGGCGGCUUACUGGACUGUAACUGACGUUGAGGCUCGAAAGCGUGGGGAGCAAACAGGAUUAGAUACCCCGGUAGUC